UUAAGUUCGACUGCCAGUGAUUAGAGUUUGAUCCUGGCUCAGGACGAACGCUGGCGGCACGCUUAACACAUGCAAGUCGAACGAGCGAAAGGUGCUUGCACCUCUAGCUAGUGGCGGACGGGUGAGUAACACGUGAGCAAUCUGCCUUCGGGUGGGGGAUACCAGUUGGAAACGACUGUUAAUACCGCAUAACAUGAUAGAACCGCAUGAUUUUAUCAUCAAAGAUUUAUUGCCUGAAGAUGAGCUCGCGUCUGAUUAGCUAGUUGGUGAGGUAACGGCCCACCAAGGCGACGAUCAGUAGCCGGACUGAGAGGUUGAACGGCCACAUUGGGACUGAGACACGGCCCAGACUCCUACGGGAGGCAGCAGUGGGGAAUAUUGCACAAUGGGCGCAAGCCUGAUGCAGCGAUGCCGCGUGAGGGAAGAAGGUUUUCGGAUUGUAAACCUCUGUUGACAGGGACGAUAAUGACGGUACCUGUUCAGAAAGCUCCGGCUAACUACGUGCCAGCAGCCGCGGUAAUACGUAGGGAGCGAGCGUUGUCCGGAAUUACUGGGUGUAAAGGGAGUGCAGGCGGGACUGCAAGUCAGAUGUGAAAUGUAGGGGCUCAACCCCUGAGCUGCAUUUGAAACUGUGGUUCUUGAGUGAAGUAGAGGUAAGCGGAAUUCCUAGUGUAGCGGUGAAAUGCGUAGAUAUUAGGAGGAACAUCAGUGGCGAAGGCGGCUUACUGGGCUUUAACUGACGCUGAGGCUCGAAAGCGUGGGGAGCAAACAGGAUUAGAUACCCUGGUAGUCCACGCUGUAAACGAUGAUUACUAGGUGUGGGGGGACUGACCCCUUCCGUGCCGCAGUUAGCACAAUAAGUAAUCCACCUGGGGAGUACGGCCGCAAGGCUGAAACUCAAAGGAAUUGACGGGGGCCCGCACAAGCAGUGGAGUAUGUGGAUUAAUUCGAAGCAACGCGAAGAACCUUACCAAGUCUUGACAUCGUACGCAUAGCAUAGAGAUAUGUGAAAUCCCUUCGGGACGUAUAGACAGUGGUGCAUGUUGUCGUCAGCUCGUGUCGUGAGAUGUUGGGUAAGUCCGCAACGAGCGCACCCUACUGUAGUGCUACGCAGGAGCACUCCUAGCAGACUGCGUGACAACGGAGAGGUGGGGAUGACGUCAAUCAUCAUGGCCUUAUGACUUGGCCUCACGUACUACAUGCCGUAACUAGGAGGCAGUCCAAGGUGGACAAACCCUAAAGCAGCUUAGUUCGGAAUGU
rnacentral:rRNA from 1 species